UACGGAGGGUGCAAGCGUUAUCCGGAUUCACUGGGUUUAAAGGGUGCGUAGGCGGGCAGGUAAGUCCGUGGUGAAAUCUCUGAGCUUAACUCAGGAACUGCCAUGGAUACUAUUUGUCUUGAAUUUUGUGGAGGUAAGCGGAAUAUGUCAUGUAGCGGUGAAAUGCUUAGAUAUGACAUAGAACACCAAUUGCGAAGGCAGCUGGCUACACAAAUAUUGACACUGAGGCACGAAAGCGUGGGGAUCAAACAGG
rnacentral:rRNA from 1 species